AUUGAACGCUGGCGGCAUGCCUUACACAUGCAAGUCGAACGGCAGCGGGCCUUCGGGUGCCGGCGAGUGGCGAACGGGUGAGUAAUGCAUCGGAACGUGCCAUUGAGUGGGGGAUAACGUAGCGAAAGUUGCGCUAAUACCGCAUAUUCUGUGAGCAGGAAAGCAGGGGACCGCAAGGCCUUGCGCUCUUUGAGCGGCCGAUGUCAGAUUAGCUAGUUGGUGAGGUAAAGGCUUACCAAGGCGACGAUCUGUAGCGGGUCUGAGAGGAUGAUCCGCCACACUGGAACUGAGACCCGGUCCAGACUCCUACGGGAGGCAGCAGUGGGGAAUUUUGGACAAUGGGGGCAACCCUGAUCCAGCCAUGCCGCGUGAGUGAAGAAGGCCUUCGGGUUGUAAAGCUCUUUCGGUCCGGGAACGGAAAUACGCAUGGUGGAAUACCCUGUGUGGAUGACGGUACCGGAACAAGAAG
rnacentral:rRNA from 1 species